UACGAAGGGUGCAAGCGUUAAUCGGAAUUACUGGGCGUAAAGCGCGCGUAGGUGGUUCAGUAAGUUGGAAGUGAAAUCCCCGGGCUCAACCUGGGAAUUGCAUUUGAAACUGGGGAACUAGAGUGUGUGAGAGGGGGGUAGAAUUCCAAGUGUAGCGGUGAAAUGCGUAGAUAUUCGGAGGAACACCAGUGGCGAAGGCGGCUCACUGGUCCAUUACUGACGCUGAGGUGCGAAAGCGUGGGGAGCAAACAGG
rnacentral:rRNA from 1 species